ACUACUUCUCCAGAUUCUGAAUGUUCUACAUCUGGGCACAAGAUUACCGUUCUUUCAUUGUACCAUCUCAGGCUCAGUCAUUGUUACUUAAGCAGGCCACCAUGUUGCGGGACUGGUGGGGAUGAGCUUGCAGGCUCAGUUGUCAGUGUGAGAACUUUCCCUUUCCUAUGACCUUCCAGAUGAGGAACUGCUCAGAUCACCAGCUGCUUCAGGUUACCAGCCCACACCUGUCUGUCUCACCUCUGACAACCUUGAUAUAAAUUAAACAAUGAAUAAGAACAAAAACAAUUUAAAACUGCGUAAUGGUCCAAACCACCAUGGAUGGUGUUCUGACGAUGAUACACGGGGUGAGGUCUGACUCAUGAGCCGCUGUCCGUGAUGACUUGACAUUCUCAAAAGGAAAUCCCGAAUGUUCUCACUGCAUGCUGCUGCAGGCCCUCAUGGCAGGGCAUCCACACCACUGGCUCAGGUGCUGGUUGCUCCAGAAUCUCUCUUCAGCUGGCCUUUUUCUACUGAACUGUCUGUGAGAACAUCACUGCAGGCACGGUUUUCUCCAACCAUAAUUGCUGCUGCCAAAGCCACCUCGGACUUGGGAAAGGGAAACAACACUCCACUAGAGAGCGUAGAAUCUUAGAAUUCAUCUACUUCAUUCUCCUCCUGGUACUCUACUUUCUUCUACAACGUCCCAGCCGAGCUGAGGUCUGAGCUGUGC
ensembl:lncRNA novel transcript